UACAGAGGCCACAAGCGUUACGCGGAUUCAUUGGGCUUAAAGGGUGCGUAGGCGGGCCUUCAAGUGCCUUGUGAAAUCCCACGGCUCAACCGUGGAAUCGCUCGGUAGACUGGAGGCCUUGAGCUUGGCAGAGGCCGCCGGAACAGUAGGUGGAGCGGUGAAAUGCGUAGAUAUCUACUGGAACGCCAAAGGUGAAGACAGGCGGCUGGGCCAACGCUGACGCUGAGGCACGAAAGCGUGGGGAGCGAACGGG
rnacentral:rRNA from 1 species